CACUAAAGCGCUCACAAUAUCUUAAUAUGGAAUAAAGAAAGCAAUAAACACAGACAGAAGGACACUGUUGAAAGUUCGUGAUAAACAAAUAAAUAACACUGUCAAUCUGGCCUAUGUUUCAACGCACAAUCCCAAGAAUCCGGAACUUUUUCAUAUCAUAAGGCAAAAUGUUCCAAUUUCAAAUGCUGAUAUGAAAAUGAAUCGAAUUAUGGCUAAUAAUGUAACAAUGAUAAAGAGUAAACGCCAAAGCCGUAACUUAA